GAGGUGGGCAGAUCAUUUGAGCUGAGGAGUUCAAGACCAGCCUGGACAACAUGCUGAAACCCCAUCUCUACUAAAACUACAAAGAAUUAGCCAGGCAUGGUAGCACAUGCCUGUAGUCCCAGCCACUCAGGAGCCUAAGGCAGGAGAAUUGCUUGAACUUCCCCAGCUUCAAGAGGAAGAGUCUGCAGUGAGCCGAGAUGGCGCCACUGCACUCCAGCCUGGGUGACAAGAGUAAAACUCCCUCUCAAAACAAACAAACAAACCAAAAAAACAAAUAGCAACAGCAACCACAAUCAUCAUCACCAUCAAGGCUGGAACAAGGAUGAGGCAGGCAGGCUCUGAUAGCAACAGGAGGAAGCAGACCAAGGAGGGAGAGAAAGGAAGGCAGAGAAGGGGAAAAAAAAACACAAAUGAUAAUAAUAGAUGCUGACAUUUACGGAGCACUUACUAUGUGCUGGGAACCAUGCUGACGGCACACCGAAUCCACUGAACAGGUGGAUCUCUUUGGGUUUUGGAAUAACAAAAAAGGGACUGUACAUGGAUAUUUCCAAGCUGGAACCGAGGCACUUUCUAGACGAAGGCAGCCUUAUCCCCAGGAGAUGAUUGAAAAUGUAAGAACUAUUCUGAGCCUGCAGGCCAUAGCCAAAGAGGACCUACUGUUAAGUUUUCAAGACCACCCAGAAAGAAAUUUGAAGUUGGGUUUAUAUCCUUAAUCCCUCAGUUAGAAAAAAAAGAAAAGUGAAGAAACUGCAUCUCCAAGAUCCUGCUAUAUCAACUUCAGUUUUUUGAAGUUAAAUUUGAUUUUUAAAUCCCUUGGCUGAUGAGACCUGUGUGGGUUUUUUUUUGUUGUUUUUUUGUUUUGUUUUGUUUUGUUUUAUCAUUGUACCUCUAUUUUAAAAAUAGAGACUUGUGGUUCUUUUUCCAAAAGCAGUCCAACAGAAAGUGAAUGGUGGUCAAUGCAUAAUAAAAUGAGAGUUACCUUU
ensembl:lncRNA WWOX-AS1 WWOX antisense RNA 1